UGUCCGCACUGGCCGCGUCAGCAUUAUCUACACAGACGCUGAACAGAUUGCCCAGUCAACACUGCGGGGCCGCCAUCCUUGAAACGUUUAAAGUUACCUAAAAAACAACUUUGGCCCUCAGUUUAGUUGCUGUCACAGAUUAGAGCGGUAUUGCUAUGCAUCUUCCCAGUCUCAUGACUUGUAAUAGCUGCGGCACAAUUUACAGAGUCCUUCAAUAUCAAGCUUUCCUUCUACGGUUCUUUAUGGCAAUACAACGCGGGAUCGAAAGUUCAUGACAACUCUAAGCUGAUCGGCGGCACUUUUGUUGCUGGAGCAGCUUUUUCAGCAACCUCUGCCGGUGCCUAUCUUUUGUGGAAAAAGGUCAUUCAACCGUACGCUAUUCCCGCCUGUCAGAAAUGGCGGGAUCGGUCACGUAACAGUGGUCCCGCUGGCUAUAUUCCGGUAGGGGUCGGCUCUGAAUCGUCAGACGAUGGCGUGGAUGACGUCGAUUACGAUGGUGAUGAUGAAAAUGAGAAGGAAGAGAGAAGUGGAUGCUGUAUCUUGUGAGGGGAAAAAGUGAAACUGAUUUUUGUGGAACAG